CUUGGGACAACAUAAAAGAUGGGAUGCAUCUCACAGUAGAAAUUUCAAAGGUGCUUUUGUUGCUUGUGUACUACGAUAUGAUGAAUGACCGCUGCACUCUGAACAUGAUGGAAUGUGAAUCGGAGCGAGAGAUAGCAAACCUAACUGGUUGCUAUGUAAUGGAGAGUGACGGCUGCGUUUAUCUGAACAAAGAACUUGAUGCCUAUUUAGGAAGAAGA